CACGUAGGGGGCGAGCGUUGUCCGGAUUUAUUGGGCGUAAAGAGCUCGUAGGCGGUUUGUCGCGUCUGCUGUGAAAACCCGAGGCUCAACCUCGGGCCUGCAGUGGGUACGGGCAGACUAGAGUGCGGUAGGGGAGAUUGGAAUUCCUGGUGUAGCGGUGGAAUGCGCAGAUAUCAGGAGGAACACCGAUGGCGAAGGCAGAUCUCUGGGCCGUAACUGACGCUGAGGAGCGAAAGCAUGGGGAGCGAACAGGAUUAGAACCAGUACC
rnacentral:rRNA from 1 species